rnacentral:rRNA from 1 species
UACAGAGGGUGCGAGCGUUGUCCGGAAUUACUGGGCGUAAAGGGCGCGUAGGCGGUGUGUCAAGUCAGGCGUGAAAGCCCCGGGCUCAACCUGGGAACCGCGCUUGAGACUGGCACGCUCGAGUUCGGGAGAGGAUGGUGGAAUUCCCAGUGUAGAGGUGAAAUUCGUAGAUAUUGGGAAGAACACCGAUGGCGAAGGCGGCUCUCUGGAUCGGCCCUGACGCUGAGGCGCGAAAGCGUGGGGAGCGAACGGG